rnacentral:rRNA from 1 species
GACGAACGCUGGCGGCGUGCCUAAUACAUGCAAGUUGAGCGCUGAAGGUUGGUACUUGUACCAACUGGAUGAGCAGCGAACGGGUGAGUAGCGCGUGGGGAAUCUGCCUUUGAGCGGGGGACAACAUUUGGAGACGAAUGCUAAUACCGCAUAAAAACUUUAAACACAAGUUUUAAGUUUGAAAGAUGCAAUUGCAUCACUCAAAGAUGAUCCCGCGUUGUGUUAGCUAGUUGGUGAGGUAAAGGCUCACCAAGGCGAUGAUACAUAGCCGACCUGAGAGGGUGAUCGGCCACAUUGGGACUGAGACACGGCCCAAACUCCUACGGGAGGCAGCAGUAGGGAAUCUUCGGCAAUGGACGAAAGUCUGACCGAGCAACGCCGCGUGAGUGAAGAAGGUUUUCGGAUCGUAAAACUCUGUUGGUAGAGAAGAACGUUGGUGAGAGUGGAAAGCUCAUCAAGUGACGGUAACUACCCAGAAAGGGACGGCUAACUACGUG